rnacentral:rRNA from 1 species
GAAUCUAGCUUCAGGUCGGGGACAACCACUGGAAACGGUGGCUAAUACCGGAUGUGCCGGAAGGUAAAAGGCUUGCUGCCUGAAGAUGAGCUCGCGUCUGAUUAGCUAGUAGGUGGGGUAAGAGCCUACCUAGGCGACGAUCAGUAGCUGGUCUGAGAGGAUGAUCAGCCACACUGGGACUGAGACACGGCCCAGACUCCUACGGGAGGCAGCAGUGGGGAAUUUUCCGCAAUGGGCGAAAGCCUGACGGAGCAAUACCGCGUGAGGGAGGAAGGCUCUUGGGUUGUAAACCUCUUUUCUCAGGGAAGAACACAAUGACGGUACCUGAGGAAUCAGCAUCGGCUAACUCCGUGCCAGCAGCCGCGGUAAUACGGAGGAUGCAAGCGUUAUCCGGAAUGAUUGGGCGUAAAGCGUCCGCAGGUGGCAAUGUAAGUCUGCUGUUAAAGAGUGAGGCUCAACCUCAUAAAAGCAGUGGAAACUACAUAGCUAGAGUGCGUUCGGGGCAGAGGGAAUUCCUGGUGUAGCGGUGAAAUGCGUAGAUAUCAGGAAGAACACCGGUGGCGAAAGCGCUCUGCUAGGCCGCAACU